CCUCUUGGACGAGCUGUGGGCAGAUGAAGUGCACGUGGGUGUCGAUGGCGCCCGCGGUGAGGAUCCGUCCGUUGCCGGCGAUGACCUCGGUGGCCGGGCCGAUCACCAGGUCAGGGUGCACGCCGGUCAUGGUGUCCGGGUUGCCGGCUCGGCCGAGCGCCACGAUCCGGCCGUCCCGGAUGCCGACGUCGGCCUUCACCACGCCCCAGUGAUCGAGCACGACAGCCCCGGUGAUCACCGUGUCGAGGGCACCCUCGGCCCGGGUGGCUCGGGACUGCCCCAUCGACUCCCGG
rnacentral:sRNA from 1 species